UGCGCAGGCGGUUAUGCAAGACAGAUGUGAAAUCCCCGGGCUCAACCUGGGAACUGCAUUUGUGACUGCAUAGCUGGAGUGCGGCAGAGGGGGAUGGAAUUCCGCGUGUAGCAGUGAAAUGCGUAGAUAUGCGGAGGAACACCGAUGGCGAAGGCAAUCCCCUGGGCCUGCACUGACGCUCAUGCACGAAAGCGUGGGAGCAAACA
rnacentral:rRNA from 1 species